rnacentral:rRNA from 1 species
UACGAACUGUGCAAACGUUAUUCGGAAUCACUGGGCUUAAAGGGUGCGUAGGCGGCCAUUUAAGUAGGGUGUGAAAGCCCCCGGCUCAACCGGGGAAUUGCGUCCUAAACUGGAUGGCUCGAGUGAGAUAGAGGUGUGUGGAACUUCCGGUGGAGCGGUGAAAUGUGUUGAUAUCGGAAGGAACGCCGGUGGCGAAAGCGACACACUGGGUCUCAACUGACGCUGAGGCACGAAAGCCAGGGGAGCGAACGGG